CUCAUCCAUCAUGUUCACUGUUAUAUUCAUGUGUCUGUGGCUUUCACUAGGUGACUCCAUGGCAGAUUCAAUAGAGCCACUUUUCAAUUAUAAAGCUGUAGAUGAAGGUGAUGAUGUUACUCUGUCCUGCAAAUACAAAUUCAGUAUUUCAGGAAUCAACUACCUGCAGUGGUACAGGCAAUAUCCAAAAUCUAAACCUGAGUUCCUGCUUUAUAUUUCUACAAAUGGAGAUCCAAGUCAAAACAUCCCCCCAAGAAUGUCUCCUAAAGUUCAUGGUGAUGAACAAGUGGAUCUGAUCAUCUCCUCUGCUGCUGUAUCAGACUCUGCUUUAUACUACUGU